GACGAACGCUGGCGGCGUGCUUAACACAUGCAGGUCGAACGGUGAAAGCGGAGCUUGCUCCGCUGGAUCAGUGGCGAACGGGUGAGUAACACGUGGGCAACCUGCCCCUCACUUCGGGAUAACUCCGGGAAACCGGGGCUAAUACCGGAUAUGACCUCCUUGGGCAUCCUUGGAGGUGGAAAGUUUUUCGGUGAGGGAUGGGCCCGCAGCCUAUCAGCUUGUUGGUGAGGUAGUGGCUCACCAAGGCGACGACGGGUAGCCGGCCUGAGAGGGCGACCGGCCACACUGGGACUGAGACACGGCCCAGACUCCUACGGGAGGCAGCAGUGGGGAAUAUUGCGCAAUGGGCGAAAGCCUGACGCAGCAACGCCGCGUGCGGGAUGACGGCCUUCGGGUUGUAAACCGCUUUCAGCAGGGAAGAAGCCGCAAGGUGACGGUACCUGCAGAAGAAGCACCGGCUAACUACGUGCCAGCAGCCGCAGUAA
rnacentral:rRNA from 1 species